ensembl:lncRNA
CUUCAUUCAUUGCGCCGGGGCGGGUCCGUUUAUUUUAGACAUUUGAUUGUGUUCCAGCCAAUCCAAAUAUAGUCGUAGACAGGUAUUUUUAGCGGAAGCGUGUCCCCGUUACCUCUUAACAGGGAACAACCUUAUGAUAUCCCCAUACUGUAAUGGGAGAAAGUAGAGAACCGGUAACGUUAGCCUCUGGUAAUUUCGCCCGUUGGCUCAGAAUGAAGCUUUUUUAGCAGGCUUCUCCAUUUUAACUGUGUUGUUUAACCCGCUUGGCUCUCUGGAAAAGCAGGAUAGUAUUAAGUUCGGACGUCCCGAGGACACUAAACAGGUUUCGGUUGUUGUGCUUAAUGUUGUUGUAGAUCGAGUGUGGUUUAAAAGCAACCGUAUGAACGAGAGUCAGUUACUUAGCCGACAACAGAUCGCUAAGAAUCUCGAUACAACAAGUAGCAGUAACAGACGGUAGUUACAGACUUCUCAAAAUGGUGAGCACAUGUGCUUUUACUAAACACGCCGGCAGGAAAUGUUGCUUUCAAGCAAGCACCUCAACGUAUCAUGAAUGUGCAACAGAAUAACUGAGGUGGUUACCGUUCCCUGCCGAUAUAUGGACAAGCACAAGCAUCACAGUGAGCUGCUGAUGGAAUUCUUGGUAAGCAGGAGGAAUAAAGAGGGGGUAAUCCUGUCAACAUGGAGUGACGAAAUGGGGGACACAUUGCAUGUUCUGACGUGGAGUCUGGAUAAGGAUUACACAGAGCUGACUUUACACACCUUCUCACUGAUGAGGGAAUUCCAUCCAGGAUUAUGAUGCACAUCAUUUACACAGACACACACACACACCCUACUACACUAUACCACAUGGCAAAAAAAAAUAAAAAUUUCUGGGUCUCAUUCACUAACUAUACUUUUGCAACAA